rnacentral:rRNA from 1 species
GAUGAGCGCUGGCGGCGUGCCUAAUACAUGCAAGUCGAGCGAAUGGAUUAAGAGCUUGCUCUUAUGAAGUUAGCGGCGGACGGGUGAGUAACACGUGGGUAACCUGCCCAUAAGACUGGGAUAACUCCGGGAAACCGGGGCUAAUACCGGAUAACAUUUUGAACCGCAUGGUUCGAAAUUGAAUGGCGGCUUCGGCUGUCACUUAUGGAUGGACCCGCGUCGCAUUAGCUAGUUGGUGAGGUAACGGCCCACCAAGGCAACGAUGCGUAGCCGACCUGAGAGGGUGAUCGGCCACACUGGGACUGAGACACGGCCCAGACUCCUACGGGAGGCAGCAGUAGGGAAUCUUCCGCAAUGGACGAAAGUCUGACGGAGCAACGCCGCGUGAGUGAUGAAGGCUUUCGGGUCGUAAAACUCUGUUGUUAGGGAAGAACAAGUGCUAGUUGAAUAAGCUGGCACCUUGACGGUACCUAACCAGAAAGCCACGGCUAACUACGUGCCAGCCGCCGCGGUAA